CGGUUCUUCAUUAACAACUUCAAUUGGUUGGGAACCAACUCUUUCCUGUAUGAUGGGAACUGGAACAACAACUUGAUUGGGUUCAACAAGAAUUUCUCUCAACGUGGAACUCCUACUGUCUCCAAAAUCGUUCUCCAGAAACUUAGCAGUAAUGGACUCCACAAUUCUAGUGCCGCGAUUUGGACAGUAAAACUUAUAUCCCUUUGAUCUAUCCGGAUACCC
rnacentral:lncRNA from 1 species